GGCAAGCUUGAAGGCACUUGAUUUCUUCACUUAAAUGCACUAACUCCCUUGAACCUCUUUUUCUUUCUUCUCUCUUGAAUGAUCUUGUGUUGGGUUGGUGAGAAGUUAUUGGAAAGCACUUAAGAGCUCCCUUUUAUAGCCCAAAAAGCAAAUAUAGCCGUUAGAGAUAAAGUUAAGGGAGUUUGAAAUUCAAACCAAACCUGAAAAAGUUGUCAGUCGCGUCCCAGGCGCUU
rnacentral:lncRNA from 1 species